rnacentral:rRNA from 1 species
GUGCUUGCACCUCUUGGUUAGCGGCGGACGGGUGAGUAACACGUGGGCAACCUGCCUGUAAGACUGGGAUAACUUCGGGAAACCGGAGCUAAUACCGGAUAAUCCUUUUCCUCUCAUGAGGAAAAGCUGAAAGUCGGUUUACGCUGACACUUACAGAUGGGCCCGCGGCGCAUUAGCUAGUUGGUGAGGUAACGGCUCACCAAGGCGACGAUGCGUAGCCGACCUGAGAGGGUGAUCGGCCACACUGGGACUGAGACACGGCCCAGACUCCUACGGGAGGCAGCAGUAGGGAAUCUUCCGCAAUGGACGAAAGUCUGACGGAGCAACGCCGCGUGAGCGAUGAAGGCCUUCGGGUCGUAAAGCUCUGUUGUUAGGGAAGAACAAGUACCGGAGUAACUGCCGGUACCUUGACGGUACCUAACCAGAAAGCCACGGCUAACUACGUGCCAGCAGCCGCGGUAAUACGUAGGUGGCAAGCGUUGUCCGGAAUUAUUGGGCGUAAAGCGCGCGCAGGCGGUCCUUUAAGUCUGAUGUGAAAGCCCACGGCUCAACCGUGGAGGGUCAUUGGAAACUGGGGGACUUGAGUACAGAAGAGGAAAGCGGAAUUCCACGUGUAGCGGUGAAAUGCGUAGAGAUGUGGAGGAACACCAGUGGCGAAGGCGGCUUUCUGGUCUGUAACUGACGCUGAGGCGCGAAAGCGUGGGGAGCAAACAGGAUUA